rnacentral:rRNA from 1 species
UAAUACGAAGGGGGCGAGCGUUGUUCGGAGUUACUGGGCGUAAAGGGCGCGUAGGCGGCGCUCCAAGUUAGGCGUGAAAGCCCCGGGCUCAACCUGGGAAUUGCGCUUAAGACUGGAGUGCUCGAGUGCGGAAGAGGUGAGUGGAAUUCCCAGUGUAGAGGUGAAAUUCGUAGAUAUUGGGAAGAACACCAGUGGCGAAGGCGGCUCACUGGUCCGCAACUGACGCUGAGGCGCGAAAGCGUGGGGAGCAAACAGGAUUAGAUACCCUGGUAGUCCACGCCGUAAACGAUGAGUGCUAGACGUUGGGGGACUCAGUCCCUUGGUGUCGCAGCUAACGCAUGAAGCACUCCGCCUGGGGAGUACGGCCGCAAGGUUA